CUUCUGCUGUGGGUCAGAGAGAACAAAACAGGUCAUGAAUGAAGACAUGGGAAUUUAGAGGAGCCAUGGCAAUGGCCCAUCUAGAAAGUCCCAGGGCUGGAAAUGUCAAGGACUUCCUCAUGGGUGUGAAGGCAGCUUUGUUGAGACAAGAACAAAUGUGUUUAAGACCAGAGAAAAGGAUGUUGUUGUGAGAUGUCUCAUUUACCUCGGUGGGAGUAUGGCAAAGAAUGUGCAAUUUCACUUGUUGGUGCUAGCUGCUACAGGAUGAACAGAAUAUGGACUCCACCAAUUCUUUGUGCUGCUCUCCAAGACAUGAAGCAUCAUCUAGAAAAUCCUGUUCUACGAUGACAGAGGAAAGCAAUGACUUUCAAGCUAAAAAAAUGAAGUUAUCUUGUAUCCCAUCCCUGAGUUAAGAGAGUACUUUAGCUUGCAUUUCAAGCAAUCACAUGUAUUCAGCAUAAGCCAGAAUGUGUGGCAUGUUCACACCAAACUACUGAAGUGCACAAAGAAGCUGCUGCACCUAAGCAAAUCCAGUGCAGUUAGGUAGAUGAUGAUGAUGAUGCAGAGGAUAAGGCACCCCCUGGGAAGGCCUCCUGGGAAAUUUCCAGAAUAUGCAAAGUCAUCCUGAAGAUUAUCAGAUGAAAUCCUCUUUCUUGGUUUUAGACAGGGAUUCUGUUGAAGCUAAGGUUCUAGCUCUUAGUUUUAACAGCAAACUGGUUCUGCCAAGAAAACAGCCAGCCUGGAUCCUUGAGACGUGAAAACGAGACUUGGCUUCCUGACUAAGAAUGUGAAUUCUAAAUACAUCAUCAUCACCUAGUAUGUACUGUGGAAACUUCAUUGAACUCAGUGGGAUGACAGUGCCCUAAUGUGGGAUUCCAAGUUUUUAAUUUUCAGCUGUACGUGCCAGCCCUUGGAUUCACAGUCAACUGGGAAUAAAAACAAUAAAGACUGGGUGUUUCAUUUGCUAAGAUGAGAAGUUUCAGACAUCUGUGCUUGAACUCAUGCAAUCAGAGAACUUCUGUUUAAAUGCUGGCCCAUUCCCCUAAGCAAAAGCUAAUUCCUUUGUCUUCAGACGUACAAACUAGUCUUAAAAUGAAAAAAUUUAGAGAAUGUCAAACCGAGGGAAAAAUAGGAAUAAAAUAGCAUGACAAUGAAGAAAAAAGUAAAAGCAUCUUUCAGUUAAAAAUAGGUACCUGUGAUCUUGGGCAACACAAGGCUGGUGAAUAAUUUCGUCAUGAUGACACAAUUCAAUCAGUGUUAGUUUACAGACCUAAAUUCUGCCUGAUAAGUAAAUUAACAUGCUAUCAAUAUCACUGACUCAUUCACCUUCUGCUGAUUUGCCCUCGUGAUUUGCCUGACUCCCCACCCUGUACAUCUAGUCGUGGCAGUGGUGAUACUUGGUCACACAAUGGCUGAUGUACAAAAGAAAACCAAUGGCAGCUUGGGCCCAAAGCCAGAACCCUGAUUGCUCUUUUUGAUAUGCUACAACUGCUGUUGCUCCUUAAUUUGCCUCACUUCAGUGACUGUCAUUCUAGUACCUGCUCUUUAUACGCCAUAAAAAUUGCCAGGACAGGCCUGAGAAUACUUCAGUUUCAUUGGCUCUGGCCCAGGCUUCUUCCUUGUUUAUGGAGCAAACGGGAGUCUUUUACUUUCAAAACCUAGCUUUUAUGGCUCAUAUUGCUUUCUAAUCUUGAGGUUUUAUUUUGAAGCCAUAGUAUAUA